rnacentral:misc_RNA from 1 species
GAUGAAGAACGUAGCGAAAUGCGAUAAGUAAUGUGAAUUGCAGAAUUCAGUGAAUCAUCGAAUCUUUGAACGCACAUUGCGCCCCUUGGUAUUCCGGGGGGCAUGCCUGUUCGAGCGUCAUUUCAACCCCUCAAGCUCGGCUUGGUGUUGGGCUGCGCCAGCGUUGCUGGCGGGCCUUAAAAUCAGUGGCGGUGCCGUUUGGGCUCCAAGCGUAGUAGCAUCUCUCGCUCUGGAGACCCGGCGGUUGCUUGCCAGACAAUCUCCAAAAAAACAAAGGUUUGACCUCGGAUCAGGUAGGGAUACCCGCUGAACUUAAGCAUAUCAAUAAGCGGAGGA